CAAGGCUUAUUUAUUUUGUGUGGGUGGAGGGAUGUAAAGGCAGGAGGUGAAGGGCAGAGCAGAUCAGUGUAGCCAGCAGUGUUCUCACCUGUAUGCAUCUCAUGCUCAGUGUGAACCUGGCAGGAAUGUACCAUGCAGAUCCCACAAACCCACGCUCUGUCUGGCAUCCUUCGGAUAGGAGGUGUUGGCUGCAGAACCCCAGUUCGUGGAGUCAAUGAAGAUGACAGCCCGCAGAGGACACAGUGUCUGACAGGCUCUGAGCAGCACUUCGUUUAGAGACAUUUGGGACCGAAGGGGAGCUGUCUUGUCGCUAGAUGGCACCGCAUUGCCUUGCAGGAGACUACGUGUGUGUUGCGAGGGUCAGGCAAAGCUCUGCCCCUACAAGCAAGCAUUGCAGCCUAACAUACUCUUCUGAUCACCGCUCGGUUUAAUCUCAUUACUGCUAACUACACCCUUUUGGACCCCUUUAAUCGGCAUCUUGGUGAUAUCCUCAGUGGCAGCUUCCUCCGGAUCAUCUGAUAGCAUUAGUGUGGCUGGGGAUAAAGCCCAGAUGGCUUAGCUGCCUGGGAAUGGGCUUUCCUAUGAGAAAUAGGCAGCUUUGCUCUUUGAGCAACGCUCAAGACUCCCAUAGAGUCUCAGAGGUGACUAAGCUGCGUUUGUGAAGAAGUACAGCAAUUGUGCUUUGAAUUCAUGUGUAAUUACUCAUCUUGGAACUGUUGCAGGCACGAGAGUUUGCUGAUAAGCCGAAUGCCAGGCAGCAAAGCUGUCCUGAACACCACCAAGCUGCUGUUCACCAUACCACAAUAGCCUAAACCUCCCAAAUGUGCUCUCUGCUUAAUCUUAUAAACUUUAUGUGGCUUCGAGUCAUUGGACACUCUGCCUUCCUCAUCCCAGGUCAAUGCAUCAGCCAGGUGCCCACUCCUCAGUCAGAAGAAAAGGGCUGUGAAGCUGUCUAUGGGUGAUGGUGAGGACAUUCCUGCUGGGAUAUGUGAAACACUGAUGUUUCCCACUGUGGAAGUGGCCAGGUCCUGGAUAAGUCUUAUCCCAGGAGAGAUAUGGGACAGCUGGUUCCCAAGCGUAGCUAAGAAGCAUUACAACUAUCUAUGAGCCAAAGCCAUGUCUCUGAACAAAUCCAUUGCCUACAAUGGAGGUAGCUCUCAUAUUCCCAGCUCCUUUACUGGCUGCAGAUGCCUCUCCAGAAGAAUCCUACGCCAGCACCUUCCAAAGAAGCAGCGGCCAAGAGGACAUGAAGUCUUUGCUAUUGUGGGGCUGUGAGUCAGAGGCUGGAGAGUGGUGUCAGUCUCUAAGAUAAACCAUGAAUCAUCGUGAACCAACCAGAACAAGAGAUGCUCCUCACGCAGCUAAUUCUGUGAUUGUAUUUAUCAGGAUGGAGUGGUGACUUCACAUGUUUUGAUAUUAAAAAAAUAUCCUGGGAACACUGUGGAAAGUUCAGCUCCUUCGUUUGUCUGUGUGCUCAUGUCAGAGACUUGUUUCCCCAUGCAGCUGGGUUAUUAAAUACAGCGUCUGAUAUCCAGGCAGUGCCUGAUUUACUUUUCCUCUUGUGUGCAAGAAGUGCAAGGAAAAGAGAAUAGACCCUAAGCAGAUGGGAGAUGAGGGUCCCUGGAUUCCUGAUCCAGAUCUGAAGCAUGCAGGAUGGUCCCUUGGUCUCAAAUCCAACUACUAUGGAAUUUAAAGAGAGAUGUAUUUCUCUGCACCAAACCUACAAAACCUUCCUGGCAAUAUUCAACCUUUUUCUUCUCCCUCUGCACUGAUGCUUCUUGCCUUGAAAUACCCCUGACCUGCCAUAGUCCUGAUGAUACCACAGCAUUAGGGAUCACUUAUGUAGCCUAUCUCUGGUCAAAGAUGACACCAGUGCUGCCAGGACCUAGGCUCCUUAAUCGGGUACAAAGGGACCUCUCUAUUACUCAUUCCAAACUAAACACAGAUGUAAUUCUGCCCCAGUGUUUAAUCCCAGCUAUUUUAAAAUGCUUGGAGUCAGGAUGGCUCUGCGGACUCAUCUCUGGCCCAGUUUCCAGCUAGCUGGGAUGUGCCAGCUCUGUGCAAUAGGAUCAUUCAGGGCUGGAAGGGGUAUAACUGCUUUUGUGAGGCCAUCUGCCCUCUGCACCAUGCACCCUGUCCUUGUAUGUACCCCUGCAUUCCCAGUUCUGGCAGCAUCUACUGGUCUCUGCCCCAGGAUUGGGUGGGAAAUACAAACUAAGCGCAAGGACCAAGUUGUUCCCUUUGCAGUUACAGCUGGGAGUAGAGUCGUGAUGAUGACUGGUAACCGAAAUAAAUCCUACUCACCACUUCUGCCCAUGGCUGAGUCAUUGGCUGUUUCUGUCACUGAGGAGAUGGUUGUCUGUCUGUCAUGGGAGAUCCUUCGUUCCUGUGUAGGAGCAACAGUGAGGGGUGAAAGUGUGCAUUCAGAGAACCCAUUGGAAAGUGUGCUUGGCAAGCAUUCAUCAGCCUAGAGACUUGGAUGAAAUACGGCAAAUAAAGAGAGAAGAGGCAUUUCCUGGGGGGAGACAAGAAGGGGCUGGACGCACUGAAUGGUAUCAUCUUUCCAGGAUCAGAGGAUUCAAAGACUGGGCAGCACUCACCAAUAGGACGGAUCAUACUUUAAACUAAAAGAGGAGAGAUUUAGAUUAGAUGUGGUGGAAAUUUUUCACUGGGAACAAGGACAGCUGUGAUUACUCACACCUCAGCAGUGUCUGGAGCAGAAUAGAAAGGGUUGUGCAAACAGACACGCACACAAUCAUUGACUGUGAGAAGAGAGUGGCAUUAAGAUGGAAAAUGUGAAUGGUCUGCUCUGAUGGACGCACCAAAGCCCAGAAAUGGGUGGUGAGGAAGCAUCCCCAGCAGCAGGACAAAAGGUGACUUGUGCAGCAGUGGAGUCACUGAGUCUGCCCUGUUGCCCUCAGUCUCCACUCUGACUGGAGAUGGUGUUGCAAAAUUAUUUUCCCAUGUGAUUCUUUGCAUCAGUCUAUGGAAGAAUGGCUUCCAGAAAGGCAGAGCCAAGCCAUGUCUGUGCAUACAGUGCCUGAAAAGAGUCAGUCUGCUGCAAAACCCUCCAUGGCUGCGUAGGGAGCAGAAGACACAAGGUGACAGCAUGGACAGCAGCAGCCUGAAUAACCCAGAGGAGCCCAGUGAAACCCAGGGGCAUUGGAGGCAUGUACCUCUUACAGCUGUGGAGUGAUUUAUUGAAAACCUAACGAAGGAAUUGCCAGGCUCACUUUGUUUCCAUGGUACCAUAAAAAAUGGAUGGGAAGUGACUGGGCUGUCUUGUAGUUUGAAUGUUUCAUUGGCAUGUCGCGGAAACCUCCAGAGGAUGCCUGGAGGGCAUGAGAACUGGCUGGUGGAAUGUGCUAGUUUGUUAAUUUAAUAGGAUACAGCGUUUUCCCUUAACACUGCACAUGCAAAUCAGAGUGGUGGAUCAGGUCAGCACAUCUCCCCCAUGCUGGCAGCAGUGGUGCCCCUGGCUCACACAGUGUCCCAUAGGAUGCUCAGGUGCCCCAUCCUCCAUCACACAUCCAACAGGAUCAGGCUGUGGAGUGGGUUCUGGCCUCCAAAUGGGAAAUGAGAAGGAGUGUUUCUGUGGUGUGAAAGCCAGCCUGAAUGAUGCGACAGUAAGCAAAGCAGUAGUGGCUGGAAGAGAAAAGAUCAAUGCACACACUGAUAGGAGCAUAAAAAAGUGCAGGUUGUAGGUGGCUGGGGACUUCAUCAAUGAAUCCUGCCCCACCACAAAAGAAAAGGAUUACUGGAUAUGUACACUACAAUUAGUAAACUUACUAUAGUAUUUUUAAAUCAAGCUAUAGGGCAUGACACUCCUAAAGCUCACAAAGUGUUCUUAAAAAUCCCACAGAAAGGAUCUCAGCCUCUGAUAACUGUAGGUAGGAUUCUAUUGUUCUGUUCAUAGUUCUCUAUUCUUUUGAUUCCCAUCAAAUUCCCUCAAUGUUUCCAAAUACAAGAGUGAUACAUCUCACAUAAUUAUUGUGUGAAUGCAUGCCCAUGUGUUUAUUUGAACAUGCAUGUAUGCAUUCUAAAAUCCAAUGCACAGGCCUUUGCUUGACCCAUCACUAAAAGUGAGUCCAACCCUUCCGCUGAGUCCACGACUGAAGUCCUCUGUUGGGAAGAGUUCAGCCCUGUGACAGACACAGGCUCUUCAGAGGAUAGAAAUAAUCCAAAAUUAAUUGAGCUCAGUGGAACUCUGCUCAUUUAAGCCAGCCAAAGGCAUGUGAACUCACUGGCUUUUCCUUGUCCCUGACUGUAGCCAGGAAAGGAUCCUGGCUGAAGCAUUACUAUGAAAUACUCAGACAUCUGGAACCAGUGUAUUCCAGCAGGUACUAUUUCAUACAUUACAUACAUUCCUGCAAAGCUGUAGCAAGACUUGUGCAUGGUUUUCACACCCACAGUACUCCUGAAUGGUGGUGGGAUCCCCACCACUGUCACUAAUAGGUUUUUGUUGCUCUUUGGGGACACAGUGUCAUGGAUCCAAACUCAG